rfam:Lonsdalea quercina strain ATCC 29281 genome assembly, contig: Ga0052894_scaffold00007.7
GCAAUACUACGGCCCUAAGUAGGCUAAAGUAAACGAUGAUCCCCAUGGAACUCUGGGGUAAAAUACGUAUCAAAAUGCAAAACCGAGCCUGCCCUGGAAAAAUUAUUUCCGGGCUGGGCCGCUUU